rnacentral:lncRNA from 1 species
UUUUAAAUUCUAAUAACUACAAAUUAUAACACUGCUAUUCACAGUUAUGUUUGACUACACCCAUAUAGCAUUAGCCUUCAGGAGCAACUGUACCAGCUGACCCUUAAGAUGAAGGCUCAUUAUUUCAUUAGCACCACCAAUCAGCUUCUCUCCUAUGAAUACAGCUGGUACACUUGGCUUACACCCUAGUCCUCUUAAUUCCUUCUCUAACUGUUUCCCGUCUGGAUGUUCAUCUAACUCAUAAACUGUAGGAUUUGCACCAAAAUUGCUGAUCAGUGUCUUAAUGGUGUGGCACAUACAGCAAGAGCUUUUGCUAAAUAUAACCACAGGCCUUUCGUUCACCAAUGAUGUAACCAUAGCCAUAUCCGGAGUUGUAGAAGUUAAAUGUUGUAUGAGACAAUGCUAGCUUUUGUAAAAGAUAUAUGUAGAUAGUUUGGUGUUGUGGGAAGUUUUGUUGUGAGUGUAUAUAUGAUCCUUAGAUGUCUAUAUAUAGUGACAGGAUAGGAUUUGAAAUUGUUGGGGUGAUACCUUUUAGGUGCUGAAAGUGAGAUCAGAUUCUUUUUCUUUGACAGAUCAUGAUGAUCAUUAUCAAACUGAAUAAAUGAUACGGAAUUAAGGUAUGUGUAGCCAUUGGCGAAGCUUUGAAGGGGACGGGAGGGGCGCCUGACCCCCCGAACUUUUUGCACAGUAGUGUUAUAUAUGUAGUUUUCGUAUAGAAAUUUUUGGGUGUAUAUGUUUUCGACCCCCGAUGCUAUAGAAAUUUUUAGGUAUAUACGUUUUCCGACCCCCUGUCGAAAACGUCAAGCUUCGCCACUGUGUGUAGCAUAACGAGUUCCUGAUCUGUAGGUUGAUAUGCAUGGCACUAGCGUACAUUUGUGAUUAAUUAGUUACAUCAUUGACCUUGAUAGAUUCCUUUUUUAACUAUCGGAUUGUAGCUACUGAAAAUUAUCAGGUGUGGACGAUGGUUAUCAAAAGUCAAAGCAAAAGCGUGGAAAUAUGAAACGCAUGACAAAAGCAGAGGACAUCCGUACCAUUGCCCGAAUAGAGAAAGAAGUUGUGCUGUACAUUUGAGUACGAGCAAAUCUGGGUAUCAGGUUCUAUUCUGUGAUCUUCUUGAAGCCUUUUAGAAAGGAAUCUUAAUGGUCUGCCAAGUGGCAGAAGGAAGAUUUGCAUAACUGGCUCAAAACAAAGUGAAAGGUCAGUUAUGUUUUUUGCUUGACUACCAAGUGACUACUCCAGACCAUAAACUUAUGUUGACAUGUCUAUUAGAAGAUACAAUUUCCAAACUAUGAGUGAACAUCAACUCUGUUUGAGUACUGUGCACUAUGUUAUAUAGAGAUUGAAUUAGAGAUUACACUACAAGAAUGGAAGGCUUUUAGCGGCGACAGCUGUCGCCGCUAUUGAUAACCAAUGUCGCCGCUAUUCACUUUUAGCAGCGACAUGUCGCCGCUAAAGCCUCGCCGGUAUUGAUAGGUCGCUAUUGUCCUCUUUGUCGUCGCUAAAAGGUCGUCGGAAUUAUAGUUGGUCGGUAAGGCAAUGGACAAUAGCGGCGACAUGUGUCGCCGCUAAAAGUCUAUUUUUUUUAAGCAACACCUGUAUAUAGUUGCUCCCAGUCAGAUUUACGCCCGAAAAACAGAACCUGCCUAAUUUAAACAACGCAAACAUACACGCCAUGAACAUAUACUAAAGGUAAUAUAAUUACAAUCUACGUUUAAGUCCUACAAUGUUUAAUAAAAUCCUACAUUAAAAACAACAAGUCACUCAGUCGUAAUCAUCCUCAUCUUCUCUAUCCUUAAAGUUCUGCCAAAUACUUUUAGCGGAGACGACGUGUCGCCGCUAUUGCCCAUAUAUGGUUGCCGCUAAUACCUGUUAAAUCUCCAACCGUUAGAUCAGGAUUUUGAUCAACGGCUGGGGUUUGGUCUCAGGGAGGGUCUGUGACGCGGAUCAACCAAUAGCGGUGACAUUAGGCCUGUCGCCGCUAAUGGCGUCGCCGCUAAUGACCUUCCAUUCUUGUAGUGAUUAGAGACCUUUAUCACAACUUAAUGUAAGCAAACAUAUUUAUAUGUCCCACAUUUCACAUCUCUUUUAACAGGAAAGCAAGAUUGUUGGGUUAAUUGGGUUUUGUUCACGGGUCACUGGUUCAUGGAUACGGGUUUGUGGGUUUUACUUGAAUAAAUUAGCAACCAAACUAGAGUGGUUCAUGGAUACGGGUUUGUGGGUUUUACUUGAAUAAAUUAGCAACCAAACUAGAGUUUCAAGAGUUCACGUGAUCAAGUGCAUGGCUUGAAAAGAAUUUAUGGUUUUAUAUUUUGGAUUAAAUUAAUAGUUUAUGUAGAUGGACUUGGUAUUUGGUGUGACCUAUUUAGUUGGCGUACGUUGGUGAAGAGUGGGUCUCCAUGUUUACCGGUUCUUUAGGUAGACUAAGUAUUUUUUUUAUUGGCUUUAAUUCCCACGUUUGUUUAUUGUAAAGGUGUAACACCCCAAAAACGGGUUUAUUAAUUAUAAUAAAGUAACCGAAAAUAAACGGGUGAAAUACGGUAGUGAUAAAAAUAAACCCAGUAAAUAUUAGGAUCUAAAUAAGUAAGCCUAAUAUUAACUAAAAAGUGAAUCAAAGCUUUGGAGGAAAUAAAGCUUAUAAAAGACCCGAGGUAACGGGGUGUAUUUAACACCCCUAUAAUAUAAAUCCUUUUAUUAUAAAUUCGACGUUGGUAUUAACGAGAUAAACUAACUAGUGAUAAAACUAACCUAGUUAGAUAAGAGUUUAGUGAUAAUAAAUUAGAGUGUUAGAAACACCCAAAAUAAAAACCUCAUGAAAGUAGGAGGGUUAAAAGUGCCAAGUAUGAAACAAGUUUUAUUAAA